CAGUGCCGCGGGAAUACGAAGGGGGCUAGCGUUGUUCGGAUUUACUGGGCGUAAAGCGCACGUAGGCGGAUCCUUAAGUCAGAGGUGAAAUCCCAAGGCUCAACCUUGGAACUGCCUUUGAUACUGGGGAUCUCGAGUUCGGGAGAGGUGAGUGGAACUGCGAGUGUAGAGGUGAAAUUCGUAGAUAUACGCAAGAACACCAGUGGCGAAGGCGGCUCACUGGCCCGAUACUGACGCUGAGGUGCGAAAGCGUGGGGAGCAAACAGGAUUAGAUACCCCUGUAGUCCCUGUCUCUUAUACC
rnacentral:rRNA from 1 species